AAACAAAGCACAUGAACAAUUAACAAUUUAGGCAAUGGAUAUUGAAAAUUGAUAAAAAUGGUUUCAAAAAGUGUUAAAUUAAAGUAAAAUUGAUUUUAUCCGAGAAUGGUCGCCUAUAUAUAUCAUGUGGAUUCUGUUUAAUUGUCAUGCAUGACACCAAUUUGUCAUGUACAUUGGUAACCAUUAUAUAAAUCAGAGAUUAACGUCGUAAUGUAACUAAACAUCAGUAAGUAAAAUAUAUUGGAUGGCUUAAUAUAAAGAAUAGAGAAAGAAUAAUGAGUAAGAUAAAUAAAAUGUAGAGAAAAGUAACAUAACAAUUUAAAGAAUACAGAAAUAAACAACACCCCCAAUCCGGACCAUCAUGGUAUACACGAGAAUCUGGAUGGAGAUACAGAAUAUAAAUAAAAGAUAAGGACAGUAAAGAGUGAUGGAUUGCUAAAAAAAGAGAAAAAAAAACAAUAAUUGUUUAAGAAUAAAGACAUGACCCCCCCCCCC
rnacentral:lncRNA from 1 species